UCUCUCUAUUGCAAUUUGCAGGGACUACGUGGUCUGAACAUAUACGACAUCCUAGAACCGUGCUAUCAUUCUGAUGUCGUCGCUAAAGAUGACAAAAUCAGAAUGCCAUCAAGCUUCUUGGAAUUGGGUGCAACCUCAGAUCGGCCUCUUCCCGUUAGGACGAGGAUGUUUGGUCGCGCCUGGCCAUUCCGAGCUAAUGUCAGGGCCGGGAUUGUUCCGACUUGGCCACAAAUCCUCAACAGUGCUGACCUCAACAAUGAAGACGUCCCAUGCACUGUAAGCCUACCAGUGAUUGGAUUUAGCUUUGUUCUCCGAACCUGCUUCCGUGUUCUUUAUUUGUGACGUGAUUUGUUGAACCAUUUUGUUUCAGGAUGAUGAAGUUGCUACAGUAUGGCUUAAUAAUGAAGCAGUUAGAGAAGCGCUCCAUGCUGAACCAGUAUGUAUACUUAUUCCUCCAAUGCUCAAUUCGCCACGAAAAAAAGAUAUUUUUCCCGUUUCAUGGAUGUGAAUUAUGUGUGUUUCGUGGCAGAAAAACGUAUCGGGGGAUUGGGAGCUGUGUACAAACAGGAUCGUCUUCAAUCAUGAUGCUGGUAGCAUAAUCAACUACCAUAGGAACCUGACUUUGCGAGGAUAUCGCGCCCUCAUUUUCAGGUAACCAACACCGAAUCGAACUGUUAAGGCUGUCAACUAGUGUAACUGUUAAAUCUCAUGAGUUCUUCUUUCUUCUGCAAUAGUGGGGAUCAUGACAUGUGUGUACCGUACACCGGAAGUGAAGCAUGGACGAGAUCGUUGGGAUACAAUAUCGUCGACAUAUGGAGACCCUGGCUCUCAAAUGGACAAGUUGCUGGGUAUAAUACCGUGGAGACCUUUGUUCUGUUCUGCAACUUUUCUGUUGUGUAAUUUCUAUACUAAACAGCAGAGAGUUUCAUUGUUGUAGGUACACUCAAGGGUAUGCAAACAACCUCACUUUCUUAACAGUUGUAUUAUGUAGUGCGACUCUUGGCAAUAAUAAAAUCAUACUAAAUGUUCGACAUAUGUGAUUGAACUGGUACGAGUACGACCCGUUUUGUUGUUGCAACUUACAAGCUGAAUUCACUUCUUAUUUUGAUUCAACCACGGAUUAACUAAUCACCCUUCCUUUUUAACUCGCGACAUAUAAUAUCCCUCAUAUAACGAGUCAUAGUCAUGAUAGAAUACAAGUUUGCACUAUAUUAACUAUAGGCAUGGAUGUUUGGUGUUUUUUAUUUUUUCUAUUUAUCACUAUAUGCGCUCCCAUGAAUACUCCACGGAACGAAUUCGAAAUGGGGACGAUUGAACUAAUGUUUGAUCUUUCGAGGGGUGUGUAGGUUUCGAAUGUGUUGUAUGUAGACUCUCCAGCUGGAGUUGGGUUGUCUUAUGCGAAGAAUGCAUCAGAGUACAAGACUGGGGAUCUAAAGACUGCCUUAGAUUCCCACACCUUCCUCUUGAAGGUAACUUUAAAGAGAAAGGGAAAAAAUUUGGUCUUCGGUGUCAAUUUGUAGAAUGAAGGAUUAACGUCAUCCCAAUCACUCGAGUUGUCUUUAAUUUGUGCAAAACAGUGGUUCGAGCUGUACCCAGAGUUUAUCUCGAACCCGUUUUUCAUCACUGGGGAAUCAUAUGCUGGGAUAUAUGUCCCAACUCUUGCCUAUGAAGUUGCUAAAGGAAUUGAUGCUGGUGUUAAGCCUCUCAUCAAUCUGAAGGUACACUGAUACGAAAAAUUGUCUCUUCGAAAAGGCUCCAACUUUAACCCUAAUGGCUAUAGAGAGUAAUGCAAAUCACUUUUGAUCAUUUGUUGCAGGGCUAUAUGGUUGGGAAUGGAGUUACUGAUGAUGUAUUCGACGGAAAUGCACUUGUUCCAUUUGCACACGGGAUGGGACUCAUCUCAGAUGACCUCUAUCUGGUCAACUUCGUACCAAAGACGAUUCUUUGUUCUCGAUUUCGUUAAGGGUUUCGUAAAUUCGUUCGAUGCUGAUGCUCUUAAGUGUCCUUGCAGGAGGUGAACCGAGCGUGCAACGGAAGCUUCUAUAAUCCAAUCGAGCAGCAGUGUGAGAACAAAAUGCGAGAAGUUGAUAGGGUACUAAAACCAAAGAUAGUUCUGUAACUAGUUAUAAUCACAUCUUCUCUAUGUAAAUGUCUCUCUAUUGCAAUUUGCAGGGACUACGUGGUCUGAACAUAUACGACAUCCUAGAACCGUGCUAUCAUUCUGAUGUCGUCGCUAAAGAUGACAAAAUCAGAAUGCCAUCAAGCUUCUUGGAAUUGGGUGCAACCUCAGAUCGGCCUCUUCCCGUUAGGACGAGGAUGUUUGGUCGCGCCUGGCCAUUCCGAGCUAAUGUCAGGGCCGGGAUUGUUCCGACUUGGCCACAAAUCCUCAACAGUGCUGACCUCAACAAUGAAGACGUCCCAUGCACU
rnacentral:lncRNA from 1 species